UUUUGACGCCGUCAGGCUGCCAAUUUUUUUCGUCGCCGCAUGCCGUCCUCCGCCGCCGCCCGCCUGCGCCAUCGCCCUCCGACCGUCGUCCUCCGCCGCCAUCCUCUGAGGCACAAGCAAACGACGGUGAGCUUCGGUCAGUGGGGCUUUGGCCGGCGCUCGGCGGUGGUCGAGGCGGCUGCGGCCCCUGCGGGCAGCGGGCAACAGGGGCGAGGUCGCUGUGACCUGUGGGCAGUGGGCAUCGGGACAGGCGAGGAGCCGCCGAUCGGCCGGUGGCGCCACGACGGCCGAAUCCCGAGUUCCUGACUGCGGCGCCAACCGCCCGAAUCCCCGAAUCCCGUCCCGACGGCCAACAGCGGCGUGCUCCUGAGGAGGCGAGGUUUCAAAGUACAAGAAGGGACUGAGGAAUGAGCCAAAAGCCUUGAAGCCUGUUGCCGUAAUUGUCCGCUGCAGCCUCGGUGGCGAUGACAAUGGGUACUCAAAGAUAAGAGGCCACUUGGUGGUGGUGAGUGGAGACCGUGGAAUUGCUCAUCUCCUCUCUUGCGCUAAUUAACAAGAUCAAGUAUUAGUUCGUGCCAAAAGGGAGUCUAAAAAGGAUGAUGCUGACGUAGAGUCACUAAUAAAAAAAAAAAAAAGGCUGCUUCCCUGGUUCGAAUAUUGGGGAUUUGGGGGCGUUUGUUGGGCCCAACCACGGCACGUCCAGCAUACGCGAAAGUUCACCUUUUGAGAGCAACAGAUUGUGUAGGUACAUGCACACACACACAGCAACAGCUUGCCAAGUUUUGGCUUCAAAUUUUGGUCUGCAGAUGAAUCUAGCUAUAGCUACAUACUAACCGUACCAAUGAUGAUGCAACUUUUAAGGCUGUUGUUUUCCCAUUGCUGUCCUGUAAUCCAUUUCUUGUAUGCUUCCCAUGUUAUGAUGAUU